GUGGGUCCCCGGCACCAUGAGCAAACGCAAGGCCCCGCAGGAGACCCUCAACGGCGGCAUCACGGACAUGCUCGUGGAACUCGCAAACUUUGAGAAGAACGUGAGCCAGGCGAUCCACAAGUACAAUGCAUACAGAAAAGCAGCAUCUGUGAUAGCAAAGUACCCACACAAAAUCAAGAGUGGAGCAGAAGCUAAGAAAUUGGUAAGCAUAAUGACCAGUAGUGAACCCCGUCUUUGGAGGGGUGGGGGAAAGAAAGAAACUGGGUCACGUCAUAUUAGUGUGCAUACCUGAGGUUUAAA
rnacentral:lncRNA from 1 species